GAUGAAGAACGCAGCGAAAUGCGAUACGUAAUGUGAAUUGCAGAAUUCAGUGAAUCAACGAAUCUUUGAACGCAUAUUGCGCUCUUUGGUAUUCCGAAGAGCAUGCUUGUUUGAGUAUCAGUAAACACCUCAAAGACUUCAAUUUGUUUUGAAUGGCUUUGGACUUGAGCAAUCCCAACACCAGUCUUUACGAUCGGUGGAGGGUUGCUUGAAAUGCAGGUGCAGCUGGACAUUCUCCUGAGCUAAAAGCAUAUUUAUUUAGUCCCGUCAAACGGAUUAUUACUUUUGCUGCAGCUAACAUAAAGGGAGUUUGACCGUAUUGGCUGACUGAUGCAGGAUUUCACAAGGGUCGGCAACGAUUCUUGUAAAACUCGAUCUCAAAUCAAGUAAGACUACCCGCUGAACUUAAGCAUAUCAAUAAGCGGAGGA
rnacentral:misc_RNA from 1 species